UCUAUACCCUACCUGGGUUUGAUCCUUCAGGACUUGACCUUCGUUCACCUGGGGAAUCCUGACAUGUUGAUGACGUCACAGGGUUCAAAGGUCAACUUCUCUAAACGCUGGCAGCAGUUCAACAUCCUGGAUACCCUGAGGAGCUACCAGCAGACUCGUUACUCUCUACAGCCUAAUGAUGACAUCAUAUCCUUCUUCAAUGACUUCAGCGAUCACCUGGCAGAAGAGGCAUUGUGGGAACUCUCGCUCAGGCUCCGCCCACGAAAUGCCCCGAGAGCCAAUCCGAGAUGAGAGAGUAAAAACGGGCUGAACCAGGACAGAACCUGAGUAAACCCGUGCUAACCUAGCUUGUGUUAGCUCAAUGCUAACAUUGGCUGGUGCUAAUGUGCUACAGGGUUAGCUGGCAGCUAGCUGGGGUUAGCCAGGUGUUAACGUGUAGCGUCAGUGGGCGUGGCCUGUCAGCUCACCUGCUUUCAUCUGAUUGGUUGAAAGCUUCAAUAGAGAACGACAGAUUGAGAGACGUCAUAUCAACAACUGUUGUUUCCUGUUCAUAAUAAAUCUCUGAAUGUCUUUAUUAUUAUUUUAUAUAAAGUUUCUUCAGUGGGAUUAUUUCCUGUACGAACCGUUUCCAGUUUAUAGAAAUAUGUUUCAGCAUCAAAGAAUAACUGACUAAUAAAAAUACAGUAAUUUAAUACAGUUUUUAUCUUUAAUUUGUCUUUUUAAUGUGUAAAGACAUUUACAGUGUAAAACAAUGAUCUAUAAAUCCAGGUGAACUCUGCUAUAAUACAAUAAUCAGACUUACAUUUACAGCAGAGUGCUGUUAUUAUUGGAUUGUUAUUAUUUUAAUGUGAAUGUUAAAAGUUAUAGAAGUGUAAUAAAAGUCAUUAUCUGUGA